rnacentral:rRNA from 1 species
ACGCAGCGAAAUGCGAUACGUAGUGUGAAUUGCAGAAUUCCGCGAAUCAUCGAGUCUUUGAACGCAAGUUGCGCCCGAGGCUUGUCCGAGGGCAUUUCCGCUAGAGCGUCACCGCGCCCCCCACCGAUCCGCUCCCGCCGCGAGGCGCCAGUCGGUUCGAGUGGAAGUGGCCGUCCCGGUCGCGGCCUUCUUCGAGAAGGCCCAAGGGUCGGCUGAAAUGGAUGGAAUUGGGCCGCCGUGGUGACACAGUCCGCGAUCGGGUGAUUUUGCGCGGGCCUCCUCCGGGAGGUUCGCCGUGGAUUUUUCUAAGUGCGUGGCUGCGUCCCCCAGUUGGCUUCGGUUCCCUCGUGCAGGUCGUGCGCGCCCCCCGCGGCGCGCGUCACGCAUCAGACCUCUAAUCGGAAAAGACUACCCGCUGAGUUUAAGCAUAUCACUAAGCGGAGGAG